UAGGGAAUCUUGCACAAUGGGCGCAAGCCUGAUGCAGCGAUGCCGCGUGAGGGAUGAAGGCCUUCGGGUCGUAAACCUCUUUCAGUAGGGAAGAAGCCACGGGACACCGUGGUGACGGUACCUGCAGAAGAAGCCCCGGCUAACUACGUGCCAGCAGCCGCGGUAAAACGUAGGGGGCGAGCGUUGCCCGGAAUCACUGGGCGUAAAGCGGGUGUAGGCGGUUUCUUAAGUCGGAUGUGAAAUCUCACGGCCCAACCGUGGAAUUGCAUUCGAUACUGGGAGACUUGAGGACGGUAGAGGCAGGUGGAAUACCGGGUGUACCGGUGAAAUGGGCAGAUAUCCGGUGGAACACCAGUGGCGAAGGCGGCCUGCUGGGCCGUUCCUGACGCUGAGACCCGAAAGCCAGGGGAGCAAACCG
rnacentral:rRNA from 1 species